rnacentral:rRNA from 1 species
CUGGUUGAUCCUGCCAGACCCGACUGCUAUCGGAUUGGGACUAAGCCAUGCGAGUCAACUCCGCAAGGGGUGGCGCACGGCUCAGUAACACGUAGUCAACCUACCAUGGGGACGGGGAUAACCUCGGGAAACUGAGGCUAAACCCCGAUGGGCCAUGGCUCCUGGAAUGGGCUAUGGCUGAAAUCUACAUGGCCCCAGGAUGGGACUGCGGCCGAUCAGGUUGUUGGUGGGGUAAUGGCCCACCAAGCCUAUAACCGGUGCGGGCUCUGAGAGGAGGAGCCCGGAGAUAGGCACUGAGACAAGGGCCCAGGUCCUAUGGGGCGCAGCAGGCGCGAAACCUCCGCAAUGGGCGAAAGCCCGACGGGGUCAGUCCGAGUGGUUCCCGCUGAGGGAACCUUUUGCCAGCUGUAAACAGGCUGGCGAAUAAGGGGUGGGCAAGUUUGGUGUCAGCCGCCGCGGUAAUACCAGCACCCCGAGUGGUCGGGACGAUUAUUGGGCCUAAAGCAUCCGUAGCCGGCCCAGUAAGUCCUCCGUUAAAUCCAACGGCUCAACCGUUGGGCUGCGGGGGAUACUGCUGGGCUAGGGGACGGGAGAGGCGAGGGGUAUUCCCGGGGUAGGGGUAAAAUCCACUGAUCCCGGGAGGACCACCAGUGGCGAAGGCGCCUCGCUAGAACGUGCCCGACGGUGAGGGAUGAAAGCUGGGGGAGCGAACCGGAUUAGAUACCCGGGUAGUCCCAGCCGUAAACGAUGUAGGCUCGGUGUUGGGCUGCCUCAGUGGCAGCCCAGUGCCGCAGGGAAGCCGUUAAGCCUACCGCCUGGGGAGUACGGCCGCAAGGCUGAAACUUAAAGGAAUUGGCGGGGGAGCACCAC